ACACACACACACACAGCUGUUCUUAAAGAGGAUGACCGAGCUCCUUCUCUUACAGAGGUUUCACUGUCUGGUUCUGCCUCUGAAGAUGAGGAAAGCAGAUGGUAGCAUUUGAAGAUGACCCACAAUAAGCAUUUUCAGGACUUUACAAAAACAGUGUGAGGUACUUCAAAACAGAAGAAUCAACAAGAGAACAGCAGCAACAACCAUAAUAAUGAUGCAAUUUGAGCAGCCCAUCUCUGUGUUACAGCGAUAUCAUCCUGCAGAUCUGAGUUCUAUGGGAGAGUGCAAGAACACACAUGGCUUGUUUCAGAUUCCUGUCUCAGGAAUUGGUGUUACUUCAGCAAAAACUUCUGGGUUACAGAUCUGUGCCCAUGCCCAAGGAUGUGCUUUUAAAACCCCCUCGAUUAAUCACUAACCCCA